AUACGUAGGGGGCGAGCGUUGUCCGGAAUGAUUGGGCGUAAAGGGCGCGUAGGCGGCGCGGUAAGUCUGGAGUGAAAGUCCUGCUUUCAAGGUGGGAAUUGCUUUGGAUACUGCCGCGCUUGAGUGCAGGAGAGGUUAUCGGAAUUCCCGGUGUAGCGGUGAAAUGCGUAGAGAUCGGGAGGAACACCAGUGGCGAAGGCGGGUAACUGGACUGCAACUGACGCUGAGGCGCGAAAGUGUGGGGAGCAAACAGGAUUAGAUACCCUGGUAGUCCACACUGUAAACGAUGAAUGCUAGGUGUAAGAGGUAUCGACCCCUUUUGUGCCGGAGUCAACACAAUAAGCAUUCCGCCUGGGGAGUACGGCCGCAAGGUUGAAACUCAAAU
rnacentral:rRNA from 1 species